CACGGUCACCAUGGGAGAGAAAGGAACCGUGAGGUUCAAGCUCUAGCCUCGAUCGUCCGCUUACAUAAACCUUAAUAAAUCGAGUGUGUGUGAAAAUCCGCCAUAUUCAGAAAAUGAGUUGAUCAACUGGGCGGAAGAAUGGAUCAGGAGAAGGAGCCAAAAUGCUGCGCAAAUGGAUCAAGCUGGAGCAAAUGGCAUGCAGCGGGAGCACCCAAUGAGAAGACUGAUGCAUCGCAUAAGAAAGAUCCUCAAGGGCAAAGGGUAAAUCAGACUUUUCAGAGAACAAAUGCCCUAAGGAUCAAGACCUCACGCCUUCCUAUAAAUGGAGAUAGAGAAUGAGGAAGGAGGCAACUUCUAGGGCGACACUCAUUAGUUUUCACUUCUCUUCUAGAGAUGGAAUUGGGAGCUCCAAAUACUUCAUAUUCAUGAUUUCCGUCACACACACUUGGUCCUGUUCUAGUUUAGUUUAGUUUAGUGGUAAUUUGGUGUUGGUUUUAGCUUUUAAUCGUUCUGUUCUUGCUAUUCCAAUUCGAGAAGAAGUGAUGAAAUGAUUUCAUGUA